rnacentral:tRNA from 1 species
UCUCAGUGGUCCAAAUGGUAAAGAAUCUGUCUGUAAUGCAAGAGACCCAGGUUCAAUUCCUGGGGUGGGAA